CUUGUACUUCGAGGUCUGUGACCUUGUACUUCGAGGUGGAGCUGAGGAGUGAGAGUCGACCCGGAACUGAACAGAAAACUUCGUUGGGGUUCACCACGCCACCAAAGAGGUUGUCCUUGCUAAUAGGGAUGGCGGAGACGGCGUUGCUGUUGGACUUGGACAGGGACACACGGACGGGGCCUUUCUUAAUUACAGUUUGAUCUGAGAUGUUAAUACCCGGGUCUUCUACAUGCAGGAAGUCCUCGAUGGCGUGAGGUAAGCAGUGGAUCCGGAGGUCUCCGAGUCCCGAGCCAAGCCCGUGCGGGCCUGGCAGGAAGUCCUCGUGCCGCCGGUAGUCCCUGCGAAGAUCCAGGCGGACAGCUGGUGGGGCAGCCCCCGGUGCGUGUGCAGGAGCCCAGACUCCUGACUCUGCCUCUGGCCGGCCACCCCGUGUACUGUGGCUGCGGCUGGGCGUGCAGGGGGUUCAGGCUGUAGGGGUCGUUGACAUGGGAGUAAGGAUCUUGCGACUGGGGGUAGAUAGGCUGGUAGGGCGGGGGGAAGGAAGGGAGCUGGAAGUCUGCAUUGGGGGUGUGGGACAGCGGCGGGGCUGUAGGGAGAUUGACCUAUAGUGCCCAGCUGGGGCAACCACGCCGUCCGUCUGCUGGUGCCAUUGUGAUGGUCCUGCCAGUCCCCAAUUUUGGCAAGUAUGGACAUCCCGGCUUGGCGCUCCUGGCGAUGGGUCCCCACCAGGCAUGGGCUGGAGGGCUCCGCAGGGCCCGCUUGCUGGAAUCGCUUAGGCAAAUCCUCCUGUUUACCCGCUCACCAACAUCUCACCUGGUCAUAAAGAGCUCAGAUUUUGUUAUGUAAUUAAUUUUAAUGCUAUGAUGGCCGGGCCCCUCCCUCAGAAUUGGAAAUCUCUUUGUAUGUUUUUUUUUUUUUAGAUUUGUGUAAACCUUGUAUGCGUGGAAUCAAGAAUGAUUAAGGAAAGUGCAAAGACUUGUGCACAAAGGUGCUCUGGACAUGGAGUAAGUAAUAAGUAAGCCCAUGUUUCCUUGAAUCACAUCUCUCUUGGAAGCUUUUCAAUGUCACUCAUUAAUUUAUGUUUAUCAGGUUCUGACUAUGUGCCAGGACCUUGUGUAUCUAGAUUCAAUUUGGAGCUAAAUUGAGUAAACCCAGCAGCUAUAAUUAGUGUUAAAAACCACUUUGAUUUGAAUUGAAUUGCUGAUGACCUAAAAAAGUAUAUUAUUAUAGUUGUGUACUUUUCAAAAGAUGUUAAAUAUAUCAGUAAAUACAUAAACUUGUUCACAAAAGGAAGAUAAUUCCUGUGUCUUAUGAAUAUAAGUGGUCAUGGGAAAUUUGAUUUUAUCUCCUUUUAAAAAUAUGCUUGCUUUUGUAGAGCUUUAGUUUCAUAGCAAAAUUUAGUAGAAAGUGCAGAGAUUUUUGCAUAGACCCUCUUGACUCCAUUUGUAUACAACCUAUCACAAUUUCAACAUCACAAACCACUGUGUAACACUUGUACAAUUGAUUAUGUACACUGAUACAUAAUUAUCACCAAGAGUUCAUAGCUUACAUUAGAGUUGACUCUCAGUGUUAUAUUAUCUUUGAGUUUUUGAUUAAUAUAUAAUUACAUGUGUCCACUGGUAUGAUCAGAGUACUUUUACUCCCCUAAAAAGCUUCUGAGCUCCAUAUAUUCAAUCUUCUAUUUCCUCUAACCCCAGGCAACCACUGAUGUUUUUACCCUCUCUGUUAUUUUUUUUUUUUUUUGAGUAUCAAGUUAUUGGAAUCAUAAAUUAUGUAGGCUUUUCAGAUUGCUUCUUUCACUUAAUGAUAUGCAUUUGAUAUGCAUUCUCCACUUUUUUUUUUCUUUUCUGGAGGUCUUUUCUUUUUUUUAGUAACUUAAAAAAUGAAUUAAUUUUAAGAUUAGUUUCAGGUUCACAGCAAAAUUGGAUUAAGAUACAGGUAGUUCCCAUAUAGUUCAUACCUCAAACAUUCCUAGCUCUCUUCAUUUUCAGCAUGCCUCAUCAGAGUUGUACAAUUCUUAUAAUGGAUGAACCUACAUGGAUACACCAUCAUCACCCAAAGUCCAUAGUGUAUGUUAGGGUUCACUUUUUAUUUUGUAUGUCUUAUGGAUUUUGACAAGUGCAUAAUGACACUUGUCUCUCCCAUUAUAUCAUACAGAGUAUUUUUACUACCUUAGAAGUCCUCUGACUUUUCUCUUAAUCCUUCCCUCCCACUUAGCUCCUGGAACCCAGUGAAUUUUUUUCUCCAUAGCUUUUCCAUAAAAUCAUAUUCCUGGAGUCAUACAUUAUGUAGACUUUUUAGAUUGACUUAUUUAUUAAUAUGCAUUUAAGAGUCCUCUAUAUAUUUUCAUGCCUUGAUAGCUCAUUUCUUUUUAAUGUGAAAUAAUGUUAUUUAAUGUGAAAUAAUGUUACAUUGUCUUGAUAUACUGCAAUUAUUUAUUCAUUUACCUGCUGAAAAACAUUCUGGUUGCUUCUAAGUUUUAGCAAUUAUGAAUAAAGCUGUUAUAACCAUUCUUGUUCAGGUUUUUCGACGAAGAAUAUACAUUUUCAACUCCUUUGUGUAAAGGAUUGCAACCAGAGAAUCCUAUGGUGGGAAGAUGCCUAAUAUUGGAAGAGACUGUCAAAAUGUCUUCCAACACAACUGCAUAAUUUCAUGUUGCCCCACAACCUAGCCAGUAUUUGAUGUCAAUGUUUUAUAAUUGGUCAUUCUAGUGGUGUGCAGUGAUACCCUAUUACUAUUUGAAUUUACAUUUCACUGAUGGCAUGUGGUGUAGGUCAUCUUUUUAUAUAAUUAUUUACCAUCUGGAUAUCUUUUUUGUGAAGUAUCUGGUACAGUCUUUUGCCCAUUUUAAAAUCAGGCUGUUUAGUUUCUUUUUAUAAAGUGUUAAAUGUUUUUUGUUUAUUUUGAAUACUAGUCCUGUAUCUGAAUAUGUCCUUGUACACACAUGUUUUAUCCCCAUUAUUGGCUUAUCUUCUUGUUUCACUAACAGCAUUUUUCAAAGAGGAUAAAAAUUAAUUUUUAUUAAUAUUAAUUCUUAGAUAUGUAUUUCAUAUAUUCCCUAAGAUAUGGAACAAGACAAAGAUGAUUCUCCAUAUAGAGAAACUGAAUAUUUAACCAAAAAACUACCAGCAUUGAUAAAUGAAUUUUGUAAAGUUUCAGAAUACAGUAUUAAUAUAAAAAAAUCAGUAGCACUUUUAUAUACCAAAGAGAUUAUGAAAAUAUUCCAUUUACAAUGGCUACAAAAAAUAAAAUACCUGGGGAUAAAUUUAAUUAAGGAAGUGAAAGACCUCUACACUGAAAUUUAUAAAAUACCCAUGAAAGAAAUUGAAGAAGACACACACAAAUAAACACAAAUGAAAAGACCUUCCAUGGAACAAUUAAUAUUGUUAAAAUGUCCAUAUUAUUCAAAGAAAUUCAUACAAAAUACCAAUAACAAAUCAUAAAAUUCAUAUGGAAGCCCAAAAGAUCCCAAAUAGCAAAAGCAAUCUUGAGCAAAAGGAGCAAAGCUGCAGGGCAUUCUGAUGUCUGUAUUCCAGAUAUACUACAGUGCUUUAGUAAUCCAAAACAAAAGGGUACUGGGAUAAAAAUAUUCACAUAGACCAUUGCAACUAAAUAGAAUUCCAUGAGGAACCCCAUGCAGUUAUAGUCAACUGAUUCUUGACAAAGGUGUCAAGAAAUACACUGAAGAAAAGACAAGCUCUUCAAUCAAAGGUGGUGGGAGAACUGGAUAUACAUAAAGCAGAAGUUUGAAACUUGGCCCCUGUCUCUCAGCCCAUAUGAAAGUAAACUCAAAAUGGAUCAUAGACCUAAAUGUAAGACUGCUAUUUUUGUUUUGUUUUUGUUGUUGUUUUUGCCUCCAUUCUCUUCUCCAUAAUUGCUGUACUAAUUUACGUUCUUAUCAACAACAUACAAGAGUUCCUUUUUUCUACACUGUUGCCAAUAUGUGUAUAUGUGUGUGUAUGUGUGUGUGUGUGUGUGUGUGUGUGUCUGUGUCUUUUCAAUAAUAACCAUUCUGCUUGGGAUGAGAUAUUAUGGUUCCAAUUUGCAUUUCUAAGAUAACUAAUGAUAUUGAGCAUUUUCUUAUAUAUUAGUUAGUUAUUUGUAUUCAUUCUCUUGAGAAGUAUAUAUUAAGGUCAUGCAACCAUUUAAAAGUUGUUUUAUAUUUUGUAGUUGAGUUUUUUUAGUUUCCUAUUUAUUCUGAAUAUCAAUCCUUUGUCAGAUUAGUAGUUAUCAAAUAUUUUCUCCAUUUUUUUCACUCCAUGUAUUACUACCUUUGUUUUGAAAAUGCUACUUAGUUUUAAAUAAUUUUAUUGGAUGGUUUUUGGCUUUAGUUGCUUGUGCUUUUGGAUCUUGUGAAAAAAUCCUUACCUACAUGGAUGUUAUUAAAUGUUUACCCUAUGUUUUCUUCUAGUAGUUUCAUGAUUUUAGGUCUUACAUUUAGGUCUAUUUAUAACCUAUGCAAUUUUUGGGAUGGUGGGCUCACCAUGGCUGAGGCUCACAUUCCAGACCACCUGGGGCCACCACUCUGCCUCCCUGGGACAAGGAUUUAGCUUUAGAAUCAACAUAAAUGCCCAUGAUUAGAUGAAUAAAGAAAGUGUGGUAUAUACACACAAUGGAGUAUUAUUUAGCCAUACAAAGAAUGAAAUUCUGUACUUUGCAGCAAAAUGGAUGGAACUUUAGGACAUGCUGAGAGAAAUAAGGUAGGUACUAAAAGACAUAUAACCCAUGUUCUCUUUCCUGUAGAUCUUUCAAAAAGUUGAUCUGAAUGUAGAAUAUGGAUUAAUAGUGACUGAGCGGAGUAGGGGGAAGGGAGAAGGGAGCGGGGGAAGGGAGUGGGGUAGGGAGAAUCAGAUAAUGGGAACAAAAUCAAAAUUGCAUAGGUUAUAAAUUUUAGUGUUCCAAAGCACAGUAGGGUGAAUAUAAUCCACAAUCACCUAUUAUAUAUUUUAUGAAGAACUAGAAGAGAGGAAUUUGAUGUCUCCAAGCAUAAAGAAGUGAUAAGGAUAUGGAAAUUCUAAUUUUCUUUAUUCAAUCUGUAAAUACUAUAAGCAUUAUUGAAAUAUCACCUCUACUCUAUGAAUAUAUAUAAUUGUUACAUGUUAAUAGAACAAAAUUAUAAAAGGGCUUCCAUUGACAAAAUAUGAGGCAAUUUGGGCAUUGUUAUAAAUAAUGAUAUAAAUAGAUUUUUGCUCAUUGAAUAAAGUAAAAUAAAUGUGAUUUUGUUUUAAUAAAUAAGUAAAAAUUUAACAAGUAAAUGUAUUACAUGGUAUUUCCAAUAAUAUCAUUUACUAUUAUUGAUUAUUGUUAAUGACAAUAACUGCAUAAAUGAAUGGGGAGGAAGGAAAAAUUUUCCUUACAUUAUAAGCAAUAUAGAAAGAAUGAGGGGGUUAAAGAAUUAUCAGUGGAUUCUAAAACUAGUGGGUGGAAAUUUUAUAAGGAGUGAUAUAGUUCCAUAAUCUUAAAUUAUUUCCUUAUGUAUUAGUCAGCUUUUCAUUGCUGUGACUCAAGUACCUGACAACAACAACUUAGAGAAGGAAAAGUUGGGCUUCAUAACUUCAAAGAUUGAGUCCAAGAUCAGCCAACUCCAUUCUUCUGGACCUGACGUAAGGCAGAACAUCUUGAUGGAAGGGUGGUGGAGGAGAAAAGCUGCUCAACUUAUGACAGCCAGAAAGCAGAGAGGGAAAAAAGGGGCAGGGGGACGGGAAUGAAUGUGUGUGCAUGAGAGAGUCAGAGAAAGACAAAGUUCAUGCAUGAAGGUAUAACCCCAAGGGCAAAAUAACCUCAUAAUUUGAAUAAACUCUUGGGUGGAAAUUGAGGCAGCCAUGCCCCAUCAGCCUAUAGUUACCACACAAUAGUUUAUUCAAAUGAUAAAUCUAUCCAAUGGAUUAAUCUCCUGAUGACAUUUUAUUAUUAUUGCCCAAAAGCCCCACCUCUGAAUCUUCCAAAACAUGAGCUUUUGAAGGUUAACUAAGUGACACGAGUGAUGAUGCAAUACUGGAACAAACUGACAUUAGAGGAACAUCAGUUUUGUAAAGAGUUUCAGGGGAAAAGAUUCAUGUUCUUAGUUGUAAUAUUUAGAUUCAAUGUAAGACAGCCCAAAUUGAGAGAUGUUUUAUAUUAUUUUGAGAGGUAGCAUAGUAUAAUGCUCAAGACUUAGUUUAAAUGCUGGCUCUCUCCAUUAGUAGCAGUUUGACUUUUGGAAAGCUAAAUAUGUAUGUCUCAGUUUCUUCAUUUGUAAAGUGGGAAUGAUAAUAGUCCUUUUAUGCUUUUAGAUCUGAAAUGUGUCCCCAGAAAGCUCAUGUAUUAGGAAAUGUAGCAAAGUUCAGAGGUGACAGAUGGAAUCAUGAGGGCUCUGACUUCCUAAGUGCACUAAUUCUUUUGAUGGAUUAAUAAUUGGAUUGCACUUAGUGGAAGGUAGUGAAAAUGAUAAGCAGGUGGAGCAUAGCUGAAGGAAGUAGGUCACUGGGGACUUGGCCUUGGCACUGUAUCUGUACCUGACUCUUUUCUAUUUCUCUCUGCUAUCUUACAGGGCUGUUAUGAGUAUUUAAUGAGUAAAUCCAUAUAAAGUGCUCAGAAUAGAGACUCACAGCUAAUAAGCCCAAUAAAUGUGUUUGCUGUCAUCAUUCAUUAAUUAAUUACAUUAAUUAAAUACAUUUAAUUACAUUUCUCAGUUACAGAAAAAAAUCACUUACUAAACUUGUACUAUAUCUAAGCAUCUAGAUGCUCAGAUUACAAAAUGCUUUUAAUUAAAAAUCAAACAAAUGCAGAUAAAACCAAAUCCUGUCCUGGUUAAGGGUAGUUUUAGGCCAGUAAAU
rnacentral:lncRNA from 1 species